GAUGAACGCUGGCGGCGUGCCUAAUACAUGCAAGUCGAGCGAACAGAUGAGGAGCUUGCUCCUCUGACGUUAGCGGCGGACGGGUGAGUAACACGUGGAUAACCUACCUAUAAGACUGGGAUAACUUCGUGAAACCGGAGCUAAUACCGGAUAAUAUAUUGAACCGCAUGGUUCAAUAGUGAAAGACGGUUUUGCUGUCACUUAUAGAUGGAUCCGCGCCGCAUUAGCUAGUUGGUAAGGUAACGGCUUACCAAGGCAACGAUGCGUAGCCGACCUGAGAGGGGGAUAGGCAACACUGGAACUGAGACACGGUCCAGACUCCUACGGGAGGCAGCAGUAGGGAAUCUUCAGAAAUGGGCGAAAGCUUGACGGAGCAACGCCGCGUGAGUGAUGAAGGUCUUCGGAUCGUAAAACUCUGUUAUUAGGGAAGAACAAAUGUGUAAGUAACUAUGCACGUCUUGACGGUACCUAAUCAGAAAGCCACGGCUAACUACGU
rnacentral:rRNA from 1 species